rnacentral:rRNA from 1 species
UACGUAGGAGGCAAGCGUUGUCCGGAGUUACUGGGCGUAAAGCGCACGCAGGCGGUUCAGUCAGUCUGUAGGGACAGGGCACAGCUCAACUGUGUCAGGCUUACGGAAGCUGCUGAACUUGAGGGCUUCAGAGGGAUGGGGAAUUCCGGGUGGAGUGGUGAAAUGCGUAGAGAUCCGGAAGAACACCAAAGGCGAAGGCACCAUCCUGGGGAGUCACUGACGCUCGGGUGCGAAAGCCAGGGGAGCGAACGGG